AAAUGGCAUGGACCGCAUUUCAAA
rnacentral:siRNA from 1 species